AGCUAAUGAGCUUGUACAGCAUAUAUUUUGAAAAUAUAAGAAAGAAACUAAAAUUUUCUAUUGGCUU
rnacentral:tRNA from 1 species